GAUGAACGCUGGCGGCGUGCCUAAUACAUGCAAGUCGAGCGAAUGGAUUAAGAGCUUGCUCUUAUGAAGUUAGCGGCGGACGGGUGAGUAACACGUGGGUAACCUGCCCAUAAGACUGGGAUAACUCCGGGAAACCGGGGCUAAUACCGGAUAACAUUUUGAACCGCAUGGUUCGAAAUUGAAAGGCGGCUUCGGCUGUCACUUAUGGAUGGACCCGCGUCGCAUUAGCUAGUUGGUGAGGUAACGGCUCACCAAGGCAACGAUGCGUAGCCGACCUGAGAGGGUAAUAGGCCACACUGGGACUGAGACACGGCCCAGAAGCCUACGGGGGGCAGCAGUAGGGAAUCUUCCGCAAUGGACGAAAGUCUGACGGAGCAACGCCGCGUGAGUGAUGAAGGCUUUCGGGUCGUAAAACUCUGUUGUUAGGGAAGAACAAGUGCUAGUUGAAUAAGCUGACACCUUGACGGUACCUAACCAGAAAGCCACGGCUAACUACGUGCCAGCCGCCGCGGUAA
rnacentral:rRNA from 1 species